GGAGGAGUAAGCACACACAAUUGUCACUUGGAACAAGAAUUAAGAAGAUAAAACUUGAAGAAAUGCUGAUUUAGACUGGUCUAAUCACCAAACUGUAGCUCAGGGAUGUGAGCUGUGAAGCCGAGGCUUGGACUACGGAAAACACCUGGACAGCAUGCUUGGUUGUUCUGAUCCGAAGGAGACACUCUGCU
rnacentral:lncRNA from 12 species